AACGAACGCUGGCGGCAGGCCUAACACAUGCAAGUCGAGCGCCCCGCAAGGGGAGCGGCAGACGGGUGAGUAACGCGUGGGAAUCUACCUGAAGGUACGGAACAACUCCGGGAAACUGGAGCUAAUACCGUAUGUGCCCGAGAAGGGAAAGAUUUAUCGCCUUCAGAUGAGCCCGCGUCAGAUUAGCUAGUUGGUGAGGUAAUGGCUCACCAAGGCGACGAUCUGUAGCUGGUCUGAGAGGAUGAUCAGCCACGCUGGGACUGAGACACGGCCCAGACUCCUACGGGAGGCAACAGUGGGGAAUAUUGGACAAUGGGCGCAAGCCUGAUCCAGCCAUGCCGCGUGAGUGAUGACGGCCUUAGGGUUGUAAAGCUCUUUCGGCGGGGACGAUAAUGACGGUACCCGCAGAAGAAGCCCCGGCUAACUUCGUGCCAGCCGCCGCGGUAACAC
rnacentral:rRNA from 1 species